AUGGGGGAACUCACUAAGCUUCGUGCCUACGGUUUUCAAUUUUGGUUUCAGGUACUUCGUUUUCAAAGGAAAGGAGUUGGCUCGAUCGCAACGCAUCACACUAUUUUUCCGCACAUGAGAUCUUUGGGAUUGCACUCUGAUAUUGUUUUAUAAUAACAUGUUUUGAUUAUUAACACUUUGGUUUUGACAUGAGAUGUUUUUAUGUUGUUGGUUAUAUGAAUUAUUAAACNCAUCUUGGUUGUUUUGUCGAACUAUUGGUGGGUUGACUUGACCAACACUUCCACUGUAGUUUCCUUCCUCAGUCUGCCCUUCGUUCAACUCGAGCUGUUCGAUCUGAAUGGUCGCUUCCUCUCGAUUAUCCUGGAGCAANGGUUUUGACAUGAGAUGUUUUUAUGUUGUUGGUUAUAUGAAUUAUUAAACUAAAAAUGAAAUUUUUGGUCUUAAAAUUUGGGAUGUUACAAGUUGGUAUCAGAGCCCUAGUUUGAGGGAUUCAAACACACUCUCGGGCGUGUCUGGACUCAAUUCUGGGGUUUGAAAGAUUUUUACAAGAAAUUAAUUUUCUAAAAAUUAAAAUAAAGAGUUUUGAUAAAGAACAAGGAGUGUGGUGCGUGAAAUCAGUCGAGCUCAACUAAGUUUUCCCCAAGAUACCCAUACAUGUUAUGUUAUGUUAUGAUAUGAAUUGAGAAUAUGUGAACUGCAUGCUAGAAUAGGGUUAAGGAUCUAGGAAGGAUGCCUUAUAUGCCUAUUAUAUGUGCUUGUAGACCUGC
rnacentral:lncRNA from 1 species